GGGCACGACACCGGAGAGGGAGCCUGAGAAACGGCUACCANANCCAAGGAUGGCAGCAGGCGCGCAAAUUACCCAAUCCCGACACGGGGAGGUAGUGACAAUAAAUAACAAUACGGGGUUCUUUAGGAUCUCGUAAUUGGAAUGAGUACAAUUUAAAUCUCUUAACGAGGAACAAUUGGAGGGCAAGUCUGGUGCCAGCAGCCGCGGUAAUUCCAGCUCCAAUAGCGUAUAUUAAAGUUGUUGCAGUUAAAAAGCUCGUAGUUGAAUUUCGGGGUUAGUAGGUUGGUCAUGCCUCUGGUAUGUACUGGUCUCACUGAUUCCUCCUUCCUUAUGAACCGUAAUGCCAUUAAUUUGGUGUUGCGGGGAAUUUGGACUGUUACUUUGAAAAAAUUAGAGUGUUUAAAGCAAGCUAACGCUUGAAUACAUUAGCAUGGAAUAAUGAAAUAGGACGUUCGAUCUUAUUUUGUUGGUUUCUAGGAUUGACGUAAUGAUUAAUAGGGAUAGUUGGGGGCAUUAGUAUUCAAUUGUCAGAGGUGAAAUUCUUGGAUUUAUUGAAGACUAACUACUGCGAAAGCAUUUGCCAAGGAUGUUUUCAUUAAUCAAGAACGAAAGUUAGGGGAUCGAAGACGAUCAGAUACCGUCGUAGUCUUAACCAUAAACUAUGCCGACUAGGGAUCGGAUGAUGUUAAUUUUUUAAUGACUCAUUCGGCGCCUUACGGGAAACCAAAG
rnacentral:rRNA from 1 species